rnacentral:lncRNA from 1 species
UCUGAAUUGUCAGCACCCAUUUUUGAGAAAGCCAGCAAUGACAGCAUAUCAAGUGAAGAAGCCAGCAGAAGCUCAAAUGAUCUAUUCCCUGACCCCCCACCUCUCUGCAGUUCACUUGUGGACAAAGUCUGUUUAUCACCUUCAAAAGUCCAUGAUGCUACAGCACAAAACAAUGGGCAAUGUCUCAUUCCCUAUCCUUCAGAGCAUGAUCAGAGUCCUAUAAAGUCACCCCUUUCUUUUGACACAACAUCGAUGUUUGGUGACCUUUCAGUGGGAGGUUUUGAGAGCAAUCUUUAUCCAGAUAUUCAGCUUGCCAAAGAGAGCUUUAGUCCUCUGGAAACCACAACAGAUAAAAAAGAACUUUUUGAGUCGUCAUUCUCACCAUUCUUAGAGCAGAGAGACUGGAAUCUGAUGGUUGAUGUUACUCCUGUGCUGCCAAAUGAGAUUUCUCAGUACAAAGAGGACUCUGACUCAAAUGAGAAUAAGACCAAUUUUAACCAUGUCUCAUUUGCUUUGCCAGAGAAAUUAAUGGACUACAAUCCAAAUCUCAACAGUAAUGUGUCAGUUGAUGAUCUAGAAAUCAAAAGGAUAAUUACAGAGCUUGAGAGUCAGCUGCAAACAGCCAAACUCAGCAGCCCUCCACCAUUAGACAGUGAGCUUCCAAAACAGUUAACAAUGAGCAAAUUCUCUCCACUGAGACUUGACCCUGACAGUGAAGAUGAGGACAGUAGCUUAGAGAUGAACUGUUCCUCAGAGAACUUGCAAAUUGUCAGACCAGUAGACUCACAAUCAGUGCUGUUCUCAGAACCUGACUUACCGUGGUCUAGUCUGCUCCCAUUUGGAUUGAUAUGUGGACAGCAAGGUCUUCAUACGCCAACACAUUCCUCUACUAUCAACACACCAACUGAUUCAGAACAUGACCAUUUGGAUAUAAAGGACAGCAUGGGGCUCACUGAUUUGAACGCAGAAAAUGGUUCACCUACGCAUCCAGAGGACAAAACAGAGAAGAAUGACUGCUUAGACAAGUCCAAGGAGAUGCUUGAGCAUGAAAUUUAC